UUCCUGGCAGAUUAAAACUGUGUUCCGGACCGAGACUCGAAAUCAGUCCCGAGUUCGAGUCUCAGUCCGGCACACAGUUUUAAUCUGCCAGGAAGUUUCACUUUCUGUGAUUCUUCAUCCAAUGGAAUUUGCAAGUAAGCAUCCUCCAAAUCU